AAAGUUAACCAGACAGUCGCUGCUAUUUCAAAAAUAGGAGAGGAAAGUCCGGACUCCGCAGGGCAAAUACAAGGUGCCAGAUAACAUCUGGGGAGCAUAAGCUUACGACCAGUGCAACAGAAAAUAACCGCUUCUUCACGAAUAAGUUCAGAAGCAAGGAUGAAAAGGCGAGGUAAGAGCUCACCGCAUACUGGGUAACUAGUAUGGCUAAGUAAACUCCACCUGGAGCAAGGCCAAAUAGAGAAUUAAUAUAUUUUUGCCCUUAUACAUAAUACUCGGGUAGGCUGCUUGAAAUAAUAAGUAAUUAUUAUUCUAGAUAAAUGACUGUCUAAUACAGAAUCCGGCUUAUAGGUUAACUUUUAUU
rnacentral:RNase_P_RNA from 2 species